CGAAUUCCAAGCUUCGCGGCCUAUCAGCUUGUUGAUGGGGUAACGGCCUACCAAGGCGAUUACGGGUAGCCGGCCUGAGAGGGCGACCGGCCACACUGGGACUGAGACACGGCCCAGACUCCUGCGGGAGGCAGCAGUGGGGAAUAUUGCGCAAUGGGCGAAAGCCUGACGCAGCGACGCCGCGUGGGGGAUGACGGCCUUCGGGUUGUAAACCUCUUUUACCACCAACGCAGGCUCCGGGUUCUCUCGGGGUUGACGGUAGGUGGGGAAUAAGGACCGGCUAACUACGUGCCAGCAGCCGCGGUAAUACGUAGGGUCCGAGCGUUGUCCGGAAUUAUUGGGCGUAAAGAGCUCGUAGGCGGCGUGUCGCGUCUGCUGUGAAAGACCGGGGCUUAACUCCGGUUCUGCAGUGGAUACGGGCAUGCUAGAGGUAGGUAGGGGAGACUGGAAUUCCUGGGGCACCGGUGAAAUGCGCAGAUAUCAGGAGGAACACAAGUGGCGAAGGCGGGUCUCUGGGCCUUAACUGAUGCUUCAGACCGGCAACAUGGGUAG
rnacentral:rRNA from 1 species